rnacentral:tRNA from 1 species
GCGGGAGUGGCGGAAUUGGUAUACGCGCUAGUUUUAGGUACUAGUGUCCGAUGGACAUGGGGGUUCGAGUCCCCCCUCCCGCACCA